CAGUCGCCGCGGUAAUACGAAGGAAGCUAGCGUUGUUCGGAUUUACUGGGCGUAAAGCGCACGUAGGCGGACUUUUAAGUCAGGGGUGAAAUCCCGGGGCUCAACCCCGGAACUGCCUUUGAUACUGGAAGUCUUGAGUAUGGUAGAGGUGAGUGGAAUUCCGAGUGUAGAGGUGAAAUUCGUAGAUAUUCGGAGGAACACCAGUGGCGAAGGCGGCUCACUGGACCAUUACUGACGCUGAGGUGCGAAAGCGUGGGGAGCAAACAGGAUUAGAUACCCCCGUAGUCCCUGUCUCUUAUAC
rnacentral:rRNA from 1 species